UAUAAAGUUUCCAGAGGCCAAACUCUAACUUUUUUAGUGGUUUGUUUGAUGGAGGCUUAUUUUUGAGACAUCUUUAUUUAUUUUGUAUUUUCAGUCUUUGAAACUUGACAAUUUUACUAUUAAUUAACCUCAUUCCCCAAUUAAUGAUCCAUAAUGCUAGAUUAAUUACCUGUGGUUUACACCUCAUACACUAGAAGGGUCACCAUUCAUACACUACCAUACUCUUGAUACUUUAUCUUGAUUACUUAUAAUGUAUACCACACACAUCGUUUCUUAAUUGUCAUCUGUGAGAAUGAACAAUAUAAUUUUGAGUUCAGAAAUGACAGUUAUAUUUAACUUAGAGAGCACCACAUUUCUAAAAAUAGUUUUUGUGAAUUUCUAUAAUGGUUAUCCAAAUAUAAAAGGCUACUACAAACAUCCAUUUUUUAGCUCGACUAUUUGAAGAAUAGGUGUGCUAUACUACUCGCCCCAGUGUCGGCGUCGGUGUCGGCGUUGGCGUCGGCGUCUGGUUAAAGUUUUAGGGCAAGUUGGGAUUUUUACUUAUAAGUCCAAUACCCUUCCUUCAAUUGACUUAAUACUUCACACAGUUGUUCAGGGCCAUCACAUGAUGAGGUUAGAUAACUCCAUAUUAUUCUUUACACAGAUUAUGGCCCCUGAUUGACUAUGGAACUUAGGUUAAAGUUUUAGGGCAGGUUGGGAUAUUUAUAAAUAACUUCUAUACCCUUUGUUCAAUUGACUUAAUACUUCACACAGUUGUUCAGGACCAUCACACAAUGAGGUUACAUAACUCAAUAUUAUCCUAAAUACAAGUUAUGACCCCUGAUUGACUUAGGUUAAAGUUUUAGGGCAAGUUGGGAUUUUCACUUAAAACUCCAAUACCAUUCAUUCAAUUGACUUAAUACUUCACACAGAUGUUCAGAGCCAUCACAUAAUGAGGUUAGAUAACUCCAUAUUAUCUUUUAUACAAAUUAUGGCCCCUGAUUGACUAUGGAACUUAGGUUAAAGUUUUAGGGCAGGUUGGGAUAUUUAUUUAUAAAUACUUCUAUACCCUUCAUUCAAUUGACUUAAUACUUCACACAAUUGUUCAGGACCAUCACCCAAUGAGGUUACAUAACUCCAUAUCCUUAAUACAAGUUAUGGCCCCUGAUUGACUUAGGUUAAAGUUUUAGGCAAGUAAAAGUUAAGGGCAAGUUGGGAUUUUAAUAAAAAAACUUCUAUACCGUUCAAUAAAUGCACUUAAUAAAAUUCAAAAUUAUUUACGACCAUCUUACAACAAGAAACAUAACUCCAUUUUAACCCUAAAUACAAAUUAUGGCCCUUGAUUUUUUGAUUUUUUUUUUAAUUUCUUUUGAAAGGCAUAUUUGUAUAUUCUUAACCACAUUUUCAUAAUGGGAAAUCAAGUUAUUUGAAUGACUUGCGUCAUUGUUUGGGCGGGCUGGUGGGAGGGCAGCAUUUAAAGUCACCUUAUGUAUCGAAUAAUUUUAGUUAGGUUUGACAUAAAGAGACCAAACUUGGUAAUAUUAUAUCGUUAUUGUAUUCUAAGUCAAAGGGGCAUAGUCGAGCGCGCUGUCUUACAACGGCUCUUGUUUAGAAUGGCCUAAGCACUUCAUAAAUUCCUAUUGUUAUUUUGUUUACUGGCAAACCACAUUUUCUACUUGCACAAUAAAUAAUAGCCACAUAUUUACUUAUUCUCAAUUGAAAGUAAACUAUUUGUUUUAUAAUAAAUGGAAAAAAGUGUUUUCCAAGUCCAAGUUUUUCACAUUGAAAAAAAGUAUAAUUUUGUUAUAUAUUUUUAUAUUGUUUGAGCUCCCUGUAUUGUGUGUAUUAGAAAAUCAAACUUAUUAUGACCAACGAUAUUCUUUUAAUAUUCUGUUAAUAAAUAUGAUAAUUGUAUAACUUGGCACAUGAUUGCAAAUGAUUGAUAAAUGUAAUUUAAAACAAUUUAUUGCAAAUAUUCAGCAUGUAAAUUAAUUUAUAUCUUUCUUUUUUCCUAACAGUAUGUGUUAUUGCCAUAUUUAAUACUUUCAUAUGCAAUUUCCUUAAAGCUUAAUCUUUUUUUUGUUUCAUAUGAACUUAGAUAUAGCAGUUGAAAUGAAUUUCUUAAAUGUUAAUGUUUUUGGCUUACAUGAUGCCCAGAGUCUAGUUAUUUAAAUCCUUAAGAUAGCUUCAAAAUUGAUUACCGUAGCUUGAUUAAGUAAACAUUUUCUCACAUGAUUUGUGUUAGGGCUAUUCCAUUUAAACACAUAACCCCCAGGGGGAAGGCAUAUUUAAUUUAUGCCACCCCCCUACAGAUGCAAAUUCACCCUUGUGGGGUCCGUGGGUUAUAUGUUUUACUAGAAUAGCCCUUAAGACUUAAACAUGGUGUCCAGUCUUCUAUGAUGUCAUAAUCAGUGUGUCAUAAUAUUCUUGUAUUUUGAUCAGGAUUUUAAGCCAUAAUAUGAUUUUAUAUAUUCACACAUACUCAUAUGAUUGUGAAUAUAAGGCCAUCCUUAAUAAAAAACAACACUUGGUUUUCUGUGGACAAGUCUGCAGACUUUUCUGUUGAUUAUUUAGGCAGGGAAUUACAUGUGUUCAAGACCCAAAAAUAUUAUGAAUAUAUGAUGUCGUUGCAAAUUUGAUUUCGGGCAUUUGGGAUAAGAUGGCCAAGCUACUGCAAACAAAUGUGUUUUUUAAAGGAUGGCUUUAACUUUAUUCACCUUUAUGAUACUCAGUUUAACCCUGUAUAUAACUCAUUUUAUUAAUGUAAUAGUUAUACCAUCAGUAAAUAAUUGACAGUAUUGAAUAUUAUACCUUCACAUCAUCUGCAAAGAUCUUGGUAUUAUACAUUUUGUAACUUGUGCGUAUAGCUUUAUUUACGGUACAUUUUGUAACUUGUGCUAGCUUUAUUUAUGGUACAUUUUGUAACUUGUGCUAGCUUAAUUUACGUUAAGUGCAUUGCAAUUCAUUUUUCUCAAUCUAAAAAUUGUUUGUAUGCUUAUUGGUAAAAUAACCUGAAAUAAAUAUUGCAUGAUUCAUUUGCAUAAGGUAUUAACAUGUAAAAUUACCAUAGACAUAUAUGGCCAUGAUAUUACUCACAUAGAUUCUUUAUUUGAUAACAGCAGUUUUGACAUUUGCUAGCUUUAUUGUUCAACUUGUAGUGCAAAAUGUUCAGUUUUACUAUUAGCUGCACUCUCCCAGAUUGUACAUUUUGACAACUUUUUUUUUCUUUCUGGGAAUGAGCCAAUUCUUGGGUUAAUAAUGUCUGAAAACCAGUGAUAUAAGACUGCUGACAAAGAUCAGAUCGCAGAUUUUCAUAUUUACAUUCGAAAAUUUAUGUUUUAUGGCUAAAAGCGGUACUAACACUUUAAGAGAAAUGAGGUUUUGGGCAGUUUUCCAAACUAUUGAGAUCUGUUCUUUAAUGAGUUAUCUUAUAUGACUGAUUUGAUGGCAUUGAUACCAAAAUCAGCUGAUUCUGAGACAAAAAAAUAAAAUAAAAGUCCAAACUGUCAAACUGUUAAAAAAACAACAGCUUUUUAAUAUUCACAUAGCAUAAACUUGCAAAACGUCAAGUAAAAACUGAUCAGAAAUGCAAAAUAUAUGUUACAGGCAAUGAUUUAAGAUCAAGUGCGUGAUACUAUUUGAUAUUGAAAGGUUAACUGUUGUGCUAGAUUUGAAAGACCAUAUAGGUUAUGAUCUUAAAAUCAUGCAACCCAUAUGUGAUAUUAUUGCACUACAUAUGAAAGUUUCAUGAACUAUCAUUGUCGGCAGGCAUGUUGAAUGUGCUUUAAGCAUUGAUUUAUUCUAAAUUGAGUAAUAGGUCCAUAAAAGUUUAUGCAAAACUAAACACAAUUUAUUGUAAGAUGGUAUUAAAAUUACACUUUUAAGAAUGAAGGAGAAUGAUGUCUUUUUUAGAUGGUGAAAAUAAAAGAUAUUAAAUUAUUUGACUUUGUAUAUGUGACGACGCCUGUAGAAAGGGGUACAAAGUCGGCAAUUUCAAUUUCGAGAAAAACGUGUUUAAAGUUUUGUUGAUUUAUUUCACUCACUUUAAUUGGUAUAAGUCACCAUUUCUGUGUUAGAUUUAUAAAUUUUAACGUACAACAAUUGUUUAAAUUGCAUCCAUGGAAUAUACAUAUUCUCCGACAACAAUGUUACCGAUAGCGACGAGUUAUAAUAACAACAAGGUUAUCUCCCUUAUGCAUAUACGUAAUUUCCGGUUGGUAAUUAAGAAACAAGAAAUUUUCAAACAUUUACGUUUUUUUGUCAUCAUUUGCUGCUUUUCGAGGAUGCUUUUGUCGAGUUUUGACAGGACAGUAUCCAUGUUUCCUGCCCGACCCCCUCCAUUACAGUUGGGACAUUGCCUGCCAGUUUUCUUCCCCAAUCAUGCCCAAACGACUGGUCCAAUAUUGUUCAAAACUUGAUGGAAAUGCGGUGUCAUCGUAGUUUGGAGUAUGUGCAGAGCACUCGGGACAACAAGCAGUUUAUUUCUUUGAUGAGACUGAAUUGCUUGGGAAGGGAGCAGACACUGUUGUGAGCAUGAUGAUCACUUCUUCAAGUACCAUGGCUUGGAGAAGAAAGGCCGAAAUUGACACUUUGGUCUUAGCAGCAAACAGGCCUGGCUUUGUGCAGUGCAGGUUUGCUGCAUCGGUGAUGGUUUAGUUUACCUGAUGAAAACCAGAGCGGUUGUGUACCCUGAACUCCUUUCCGAAUUCUUCAUCAAGGGGCUGAAUCUUGAAUGGCAGUGGUAUUAACAUGACAAGAUCAGAGAAUACAGCAGAUUAGACAUUGAAAAAGACAGUGUGCCCUGGACAGUCUCAACCAAAGCAUUAAACAAACUGUACAACCUGUUAAUUAACUUUUUAGAGCUGUUUGUUUGGACUAGUGUUUGUCGUUCAUAAAUAAGUAAUAACAUUAUUUCUCAGUAUAAGAAAUCUGUAGGAAUUAGAAGCUGAUAUUUACUGUAACUAUAUAAACAAACCUUUUAGGGGUUUAGCCAGGUUAAAGAAAGACAGGGAGCUACUGAAAAGAGACAGGUUUCCAUGCUUCAAUAGGACACCCUUCAUUGAUCUGUGAAGAAUUUUAACAUUUUGAAUGUUUCAGAAAAUGUUAGGAAUAUUGUAUAAUGUUUAAUUGAAGUACUAUUAGGUUUCAAGUGCCAAAUAUGUAAAGCCUGUGUGUAUUUAUAAUCUUGUGAAUAUAAGUUGUUAUCAAAACAAAAUCAAUAUUUGACUGUCUUAAGCUUUUAAUUCUAUGAAGGCAGGAGGUUGCCAAUCUUGUUCUUCAUGACGGGUGCUUCCAAAAAAGAACAGGGUGCAGAAACCUUCCAUAACUCUUGAUAGAACCCUAAUAUCCUUUUUUCAUCAAAUUACAGUAACAUUGACAAUUAACAAACGAUGCAGUGAUAAUUUUCUUAUGCUAAUAUCAUCAAUUUUUAUUGUAAGUUUUUUUCUAGAAUUGAUUUGUACAUGUAAUGUAUUGAAAAUGGAUACUUGUGGUUGCCAUGGUUACAACUUGUUUCUUAGUGUAGUAAUAUGUUUUAUAUAUAUAAAUACAAUAUUGCCUUAUGUAAACUUAUAAUAUUUUAAGAAAUAAUGAUUCAAACACAUGUACAGAGACAAUAAAUACACUACUUUGUAUUUUUGUUGCCAUGGCAACGUUUCUGUGUAUAUUUGUUACAUUUAUUGUUUUUUAUUACAUGAUUGUCCAUUAGUGAAAUUAUAAUGUGUAUAAUAAGCAUAGCUACAAAAUGCAUAGAUACAUGAAAAUACCUAUUUAUGGAUGUACAUUUUCUUCAUAUUUCGAUAAUAGAAUAUAUUUUGUACACUGACCCACCUUGGACUUAAAUCACCAUAGCAACAAAAGUCUUAAACAUUUUGAAUAAAAACAAAUAAAAAUAUAUUUGUAAAGUGUCUGCCCAUGCUUAGGCUAUUUGAGUACUUUUUAAGAGCGGCGUGUGUUAUCCCUUUUACGUUUAAUAUUGAAUGGCAUCGUAUUGUGGUUGUCAUGGUAACAUUUUGAUUGCCAUUUUAAACUUCAAUCAUAAUUUUAAAAGAAUUUUGUUACCAGUUCAAUGAUAUGUUAUUUUUUGUAAGAUAUAUAACUACAAAUUAUAUAAAGACAUAAAAAUACA